rnacentral:rRNA from 1 species
AUACGGAGGGAGCGAGCGUUAAUCGGAAUUACUGGGCGUAAAGCGCGCGUAGGCGGCUUUGUAAGUCGGAUGUGAAAGCCCAGGGCUCACCCCUGGAAUUGCAUUCGAUACUGCAGAGCUAGAGUAUGGUAGAGGGAAGUGGAAUUUCCGGUGUAGCGGUGAAAUGCGUAGAUAUCGGAAGGAACACCAGUGGCGAAGGCGACUUCCUGGGCCAAUACUGACGCUGAGGUGCGAAAGCGUGGGGAGCAAACAGGAUUAGAAACCCCGGUAGUCC